UCAAAGCAGGCUACUCUUGACACUAAAGCCCGAAUGUUAACUGCAUGGAAUGAUGGAAGAUGAUCUCGGUUCCAUUUUGCUGGGCCCCUUUGGGAAUCCGAGUUAAUGAUAAACAGGGACUGUCGGGGGCAUCCGUACUACGACGCGAGAGGUGAAAUUCAGUGACCGUCGUAGGACGAACAACAGCGAAAGCAUUUGCCAAGAAUGUCUUCGUUGAUCAAGAACGAAAGUUAGAGGAUCGAAGGCGAUCAGAUACCGCCCUAGUUCUAACCCUAAACGAUGCUGACCAGCUAUUCGUUAGCGUUAUUCCCAUGACGUGGCGAGACGCCCCCGGGAAACCUCGAGUCUUUGAGUUCCGGGGGUAGUAUGGUUGCAAAACUGAAACUUAAAGGAAUUGACGGAAGGGCACCACCAGGAGUGGAGCCUGCGGCUUAAUUUGACUCAACACGGGAAACCUCACCAGGCCCGGACACCAGAAGGAUUGACAGAUUAAGAGCUCUUUCUCAAUUUGGUGGGUGGUGGUGCAUGGCCGUUCUUAGUUGGUGGAGUGAUUUGUCUGGUUAAUUCCGGUAACGAACGAGACUCUGGCCUACUAACUAGUGGGCGGGUGUUCCGGUAAGGGGCCCCGCCCGACAAAUGUCUUCUUAGAGGGAUGAGCAGCGAGUAUAGCUGCAGGAGAUUGAGCAAUAACAGGUCUGUGAUGCCCUUAGAAG
rnacentral:rRNA from 1 species